UUCCAAACCAAGAACCACACUCAGCCUUUUCUCUCUCAACCGUAAGUAACACAAGAUUGACACCUAAACGUAACAUGUACCCACUUCUUCUCAUCCGCCUAUUUCCCCCACAAAGAAAUAGCCAAGAGUUGAAUCACCAUACAAACCUCCAGCCUCCCUUUUCACUGGCUGGCCGAAUGCAGCCAUCAAGGAAAAUUGCACAUGAGCUAUUACUCCACCUCACUCUCUUGCUCGGCCGAAGGUUGAUCUUAAGGAGGUGAAGAAAAUUUUGUUGCCUCCUUGCUCUUUAUCACUGAACUGGUUCUGAUUGAGUGGUCAGUCUACGGCAUGCACAUAUCUUCCUUAAUUGAGCUCCUACCCUUUUGCGUACCGCUUCAACAAGAUUGGGGACAUGCAAGCCCAAAACCUCUAAGGACACCGUCUCUCCUUCCUUUCUUUAGUUGGCUGAACCGUUAGCAUCAAGGGAAUGAGAUGCGUUCCCUGACUUCGUGCUUCUUCUCGGUCCUUCACGGUGUUGAUGGAGCCUCCCCAUCUUGGGUGUUUUCUGAGUUCGGUGAUGAGAGUUGGAGUGAGUUGUUCUUCAUUUGGUUUUUCUGUUUGAUUCCAUGGAUAAUUAGGAUGUGAGGGAGCUGCCUCCUCUUGGAUGGUACUCGUUGGCAGGUUUUAGAACAGAUUGGGCACACAUCAGAGGUCCAUAAAACUCAAGGAUGUUGGACGAACUUGGGGGCUGUUUUGAUUAGAAAGCUAAAGUAUCAGGUCUAAUAUUGUUGCUGUAUUGGUUUUAUUGCCACACUACUGGGAUUUUUCUCACCCCUUCGGGGGCUCAAUUUUCAUAAAUUGCAGGAGGACUUAGAAGCAUGUGAAGAAGUAUUUGAUGACGUGAUUUCAUGGAAAUGAUUUGAUUGAGUUUUAAUGUUUGGGAUAUCCUACUGUUUAAUUGAUGUUUCUGUUGGAAGUAUAAUGUAUAUUCAGCUUUGGUGUAGCCUUCUAAGGAUGGUAUUUUAUUAUGUG